rnacentral:tRNA from 1 species
GGGCAUCUAGCUCAGUUGGUUAGAGCGUCGCAUUCACAUUGCGAAGGUCACUGGUUCGAAUCCAGUGAUGCCCACCA